GGAAGGAUCAUUAUCGUAUAAACUUGAACAGGCUGUUUGCUGGCUCUCGGGCAUGUGCACGCUUGUCUCAUUUUUGUCAUUUCUCCAACUUGUGCACAUCUUGUAGAUCCUGGAAUGGGCUCUUAUGAACUCGCGUUCGAGUCGGGACUGCUGUUGCUUUUUGAAAAAGGCCAGCUUUUCCUCGUAUCUUUCCAGGUCUAUGUCAUUUUCACAACCUCUUGUAUAUGUUUAGAAUGUGUUGGAAUAUAUAUAAUAUAUACAACUUUCAGCAACGGAUCUCUUGGCUCUCGCAUCGAUGAAGAACGCAGCGAAAUGCGAUAAGUAAUGUGAAUUGCAGAAUUCAGUGAAUCAUCGAAUCUUUGAACGCAUCUUGCGCUCCUUGGUAUUCCGAGGAGCAUGCCUGUUUGAGUGUCAUUUAUCUUAUCAACCACUUCAGAUUUCUGAACGUGGCUUGGAUAUGGGGGGGGAAAAUCUUCUUUUUGCCGGCUUUCUUUCCAAGGUCGGCUCCCCUGAAAUGCAUUAGUGGCAUCUGAGCGGCUACUGUAGGUGUGAUAAAUAUCUAUGCCUUUGGUAUGCUGCAUGACCAGAUCGUGCUGCUUCGAAAGCCGACUUGACAAACUUGACCUCAAAUCAGGUAGGACUACCCGCUGAACUUAAGCAUAUC
rnacentral:misc_RNA from 1 species